UGUAACUAGUAAAUAUUAUUUUUUUGUCAGUAUUUAAUAAUAAUAUUUACUCAUAUUUACAGAAAUUUUGCAUACAAAAAGUAUAUAGUUUAUACCUAUAUUUAUCAGAGUAAUUAAUAUAGUUUGCACCCAUAUUUUUCUAUAAUUUGCAUACAUAAAUUAAUAAAAAUUAUUUGCUAAAGAUAAUUUAGUAUUUGUACUAGUCAAAUAGUCAUAAAAAAUACUAAAAAUGAUUAGUCCCAAAAAUUUUAUUUUUAAUUUUUUUUCAUAAUUUUAUAUUUUUAUUUAAUUAUGAGUUUAUGACCAAAUUAAUUGAAUGAAAAUAAUUUAUCAGUUGAAUUAGUGAUCAAUCUGGUUCGGUUCUGAUAAGUAUGGACUACAGUCCAAUCUCUAUUCACUUACCCGUCGAUAGACGAGUACGACCCCGUUUCUUUGUCCUGAAUCACUCCCAUCUCUUUAAUGUUGCUGCCAUUGUUGUGCACUUGUGCUAUCUACUCACCCAAUCUUAUCACUUCCUCUGUGCUCUCGUCACAAGUACCUCUCUCGAUAUCUUAAUUUUAAAAUUUCUAUUUUAUGGAUUAGUUUUUAUUUUUGCAAGGUUAUGAAAAUUGGUGCGAACCGUGAGGACUAGAAUUGUGGUUUGGUUAAAAAUUAUAACCGCCAAAUUUAAAAACCCUUUUUGAACUGUUGAACCGAUUGAAAAUCGGUCGGUCAAAUCGAAUGGCAAUACGACAGGUUUUCACCUUUUGAAUGAAAACGACGUCGUUUCACUGUUAAAAAGAAAAAAAGGAAGGAGAAACGGGAACCCACUAACCCUAGUCUCCACUUUCAGCAGCAUCUCCUUCCUCUCGAGCUCCUCAGUCCUCCCUCACACCCUCAGAAUCGCAUCACUUGCUCCGUCCAGCCACUAACCUCCAUAGUUCCAUCCAGGUCUUCCUUGAAAACGCUAGCCUCUCUUUAUGAGGUGAAAACACAGUGUCUAAUUAAGCUUGAUUAAAUUCGGCUGGAGCUCUUUAAUCUUUGUGAUAUCUUCUGCUUAGAUAGAUCCUUAAUUUGUUUGAUUUGCUUGUGUAUAAUUAAACCUUGUUACUUUAACUAAUUAACAUUCUGGAGCUUUAAUUUGCUUGUUUUGCUUGUCAUUUGAAUUUAAUUAAAUAUAAAUAGAAGGAGAUAGGCCUUAAUUUGCUUCUGUUUUACUUGCCAUUUAGGUUCACUAAUGCAUAUUCAUUAAACACAAUGUAAUAAGUGUCUUGCAUGUAAUUUUUUGCGGUUCUUGAUUUAUCUUUUGUUCUUUUUUGGAUCUUGGACAUAUAACAUUUUAAAUGCCUAAUGACUUGUAAUAUGUGUGCUGUGUAAAAGGAUUUGCUGCAUCUUUACGGGUUAUUUCACUUGAGAUUGCUUGCUUUCCUUUGAUCAGCUGUUGUACUAAAUUUGGGUCUUAAUCAGAAUUCAGAAUUGUCAAUAUUUGAAGAAAAUUGUCAAGUCUUAUUUCUCCAUGUCUGGACAAAUACAAUCAACAUAAACUUUUGAAUUGAUUUGAGGAAUGAGGAGUAAAAUAGACUCGUGGUAUUUAAGUAUUGAAUUGAUUUGAUUUGAUUUUCUACGUAUAACAAGGACCGAGAUUAAUCAUCUUCAACCUCUAUCCUACUCUUUCCGCAAUUGAAUAAGCUUUUUUCUUGAAAUUAAAUUUGACACAUUCUUCCCUUGUUAAUGCUGAGCAAAGCCAUGGGAUUUAGAAACCUGGGACUACUUGGAUCAUUUGCCAAAGAGGGGUUGGAAAAAGCAUUCUCUCUUGGAAAGUUCUUCUGUUUUCUACAUCUCACCGACACCUAUUUGGUCACCUUUGUUGUGACAUCUGGUCCCAGCAUGCUUACCACAAUAGAUUUGAUCCCAACAAUGUUUUUCGGUAAAAGGAUCUAAUCAGCAACGACACUGAAUCACAAAUGCCAUUAUCAGUUGUUAGAAAAUUCAAACGGUACUAUUCAAUUUGAUUUGGCUUCCAAAUGGAACAAGAACAAGUGUGAAUAAUCAGCAACAACACUGAAUCACAAAUGUAUGAACAGGUCCGGUUCCAAUAUCCGAUUCAGAAGAUACCAACAACUCAUAAUUAACAUUCUUUCUAAAUCAAACUAAAAGUUCAAAUUAGAAAUUAAAAAGAAAAUUCCAAUACAUAAACAAUCCACAUUAACGUAAAAUCCGAAAAAGAACCAUAUCUAAAAAAUGUAAUGUACACAGCCUAACCUAAUAAUUAUAAUAAUUAUAUUAGUGGUUAUUUCCAAGGCUUAACCCGUAAUAUUGAAGUCACACAGACACAAUAAUAUAGAUGUGAUAAGUUGAGUCACUAUGAGUGACAGUGUGGUAAGUAAAGAAUCUAAUAGUGAGCAUGAAAUUUUAAAUUUAAACUUACUAUAGUCAAUAUUUCAGUAAAUUGCUAUUUAUAACUAUGAAAAAUUUGAGAUUAUAAUUCUAAGUUAUAAAUUAAUUAUUAAUUAUGCAUUUCAACUUACAGUAUGCUCAUAGACAAUGAGAUUUUUUUAACCCAAGUAUCAUAGAUCUAUUUACCGGAGUGUUAAAUUUUAAACUAUUUAUCUCAUUGUUAUCUUUUGACAAGAUAGUAUAUUUUGUAUUAUUUUUUUGCCCCCUAAGGCUCCAAAUGUGCAACUUAGAAACAUAAUAUUGGAAUCAAUGGAAUUAGGAUACAAGAGCUAGGGAACUUGAACAAAUUGUACGGUAUGAGAUCGAGAGAGGAGAGAGAGAAAGAGGAAAACGAAAAGGGAAUUUGUGAAGCUGAAUUUCAUUGAACUUCACUUGAGAAUCAUAAAGUACACUCACAUCAGUGUUUCCAGAAAGG